rnacentral:lncRNA from 1 species
CAUAAGUUAAGAAAUGCCAUGUGUACAUCAAAAUUGGGUUGAAGAGACGCCUUAUUUCAGAAAGACUCUUCGAUCUUAACUUACGAUGUUCAGAUGAGAAGUCACGAAGCUUCUCUUAUUGGCGCCAUCAACCCAUACCUUUGGAUCUGGAAGAAAGCCCAUCCAAUGGCCAAGAUAUAUGGUGCCAAUUUGAAGAAUGGCGCAAGAGAUAAAUGGGCGUGGAUAAUUUAAAACUUAUCUCCCCAUUUGAAAUUUCAAAGGGGCGCUUCCAAGAGGUGGCGCAUGGAUUUAAUCCUUAUCCUUUUCUUUAAUUCUUCUACGAUGAGUUUAAUACUCAGAAGGACUCUUAGGCACCUCCUAAGACAUCUGAAAUACAUUCAUAGAAUAAAGGUUACGGAGAAAAAUAGGAUAGACCUUAUCUAAAGGUGGCGCCAACUCCAUCCAUGUGCCAUGUGGCUCAAGCGCAUGGAUUUAAAUCCACACGCCAAGAGAGAGACUCUUAGGCAUGUGGUUCCCUGGUUUUUGGCACCCAACAGCAAGCCCAAUUAAAACACUUCGAACCCACUUCAAGACCAAAUCCAAUUUGGCUCAAAUUGGUUCUAAAUUAGCCCA